ACCCUCUCAGGGUCACACCUAGAGAGUUGCCAGUACUCUAUCAGUCUCGACUAUGGGAGGGAGAGUCAAGCAGAGGCCUACCCAUUCCAUUCCUAGCUUGGCCAGUGGCUAGCCAGUGGAAGGCAAUCUGCUACCGGU
rnacentral:snoRNA from 1 species